GUUUCCCUGGACACACAAAAAGGUCCCGCAAUAAAAGAUAUACUGACCCUUUACCACAAGCAUCAAUCAAGUCUAAGUGCUGGCUGAAGUUCACGCAGAACCAGAGACACUCUCCUCCACCUCUGGGAAAACAAGUGCUACACUCUGCCUACACUUCUCCGCUUGCUUUGUUCUGUUUGCUUGUCCAGCUGCAGCCACAGAGGGCCUGGAUGUCUGCAUCGUCCCCCUGAGCCGGCUGCCUGAAGCACAAUACUCAGGGCCCACAAUCACUUCAUGCUCCCCAAACCCGUUAAUACAGUUCCUCACUUGAGAUUGAGUUAACACCUCAACUCAGGCUCUCUUUUUCCCAAAUUUGACUCUGUAUUUACAAGGCAUUGCUGUGGUUUGCUGUAACUGAAUGAAUAACUAAUGGAUGUGAACUGACAAUUAAAGCGUUCCUACUGUCUGCUGAA